rnacentral:rRNA from 1 species
UACGUAAGGUGCAAGCGUUGUCCGGAAUUAUUGGGCGUAAAGAGCUCGUAGGCGGUCUGUCGCGUCUGCUGUGAAAACUCGGGGCUUAACCCCGGGCCUGCAGUGGGUACGGGCAGACUAGAGUGCGGUAGGGGAGAUUGGAAUUCCUGGUGUAGCGGUGGAAUGCGCAGAUAUCAGGAGGAACACCAAUGGCGAAGGCAGAUCUCUGGGCCGUAACUGACGCUGAGGAGCGAAAGCAUGGGGAGCGAACAGG